AACGAACGCUGGCGGCAUGCCUAACACAUGCAAGUCGAACGAACCCUUCGGGGUUAGUGGCGCACGGGUGCGUAACGCGUGGGAAUCUGCCCUUUGCUUCGGAAUAACUCAGGGAAACUUGUGCUAAUACCGGAUGAUGUCUUCGGACCAAAGAUUUAUCGGCAAGGUAUGAGCCCGCGUAGGAUUAGGUAGUUGGUGGGGUAAACGCCUACCAAGCCGACGAUCCUUAGCUGGUCUGAGAGGAUGAUCAGCCACACUGGGACUGAGACACGGCCCAGACUCCUACGGGAGGCAGCAGUGGGGAAUAUUGGAAAAUGGGCGCAAGCCUGAUCCAGCAAUGCCGCGUGAGUGAUGAAGGCCCGCGGGUCGUAAAGCUCUUUUACCAGGGAUGAUAAUGACAGUACCUGGAGAAUAAGCACCGGCUAACUCCGUG
rnacentral:rRNA from 1 species